rnacentral:tRNA from 1 species
AAUCCGGUGACCGAAUAUUAGGUGAUAGAUUUUUAAUCUGUUUAUGAAAUUUAUUUCUCGGGUUAA